AACCCCAGCUGGGGAGACACAGGACCCUCUCCCGAGGACUCUCCCGCUCGCAAGCACCCCUGAGUGAAGUGCACGCACGCCCUCCCACUGUCAGGCGUUCACUGUCAGACGCUCACACGCACACCCACUUUCGGAUCCUUGCGCCCCUGCCUCCCUAGGUCCCGACGCCUCUGGCCUGGCAGAGGACGUGUCAUUCCUUGCCCCCGCAGCCGCGAGGCAGGCGGCAAUGGUGGAUGCUCAGUCCGGGACAGGCAGGGGCAGCUGGUGUCUGGGGAGGAAGGCAGCUGCGCCUCUGAUCUCAGCCUGCCCCCUCCUCCCCUCCCCGUUCUCCCCCUAGGACCCCCAGCCCAGGCUCCCCGGGGCCAUCCUGGGCGGUGGAAUUCCCCCAGCGAUGCCCCCCCACAUGGCGGGGGAGAGGGAGGGGAGCAGGCCCAGGCAGGCGUGGGGGGAAAUUCCCCACCCCCCGUCCCCUGGGCCCGACUCCUCCGAGUCCUCUGAUCUCCCAGCGCCGCCCGCCGGCUGCCCCCAGGGCUUGGGGGGAGGCCAGCGCAGGUGCGUGGGAGGGCGGGGGCGGGGGCCCAGGGAGGAGAUGGGUGGUGGCUGGGAGCCCAGAGCGCCCUGCCAUGCGCAGAUCCCUUGCCCCCCAGUCUAGUCUCCCUGCCCCUCACUAGACUCCCAUUAGGCUAUGACCUGUCCCUUCCCUGUUAGUGCGCCCUUGUCCCCCCCAGAUGGGAUGCGCAGGGAGAAUUCUAGAAAGACCAAGGUGCCCGUGGCCAGUGAAGGCACCACGGAGACCCCGCGGUUACUGCUUCACGCUGAGGCUCUCGGGUGGGGGGACAGGGAGGGGGUUGUGCUCAGGGGCUUGAGGCCAGCACCUGGGUCGCCUUCUCAGGGAGCCCUCCCAGCGGCCAACCUGGCCUGUGUUCACCUCCCAGUUUCUGGGCCCUCUGAGCACUGGACUGGGAAUCUCACGUGCACAUGCUAGCCCAGUGCCAGCGACCCUGCUAAUGACUGCCCUAAAGAGCGAGCAGCGGAUGGCCAGCCACCCAUCAACCACACCCCUUCCUCACUGUCCCCACUCCCCCGCCAGCGUGGAGUUGCUGCCAGGGCCCAGUGGUGUCAUCCCCACUCCUCCAGCUCCCCGCGAACAGCUGGUCUGGCAUACAAUAGCCUAGGUUCCUCUUUCCACCAAGUGGAUGGAGGGGAUGCCAUGGCCUAGAAGGUGGAAGGAGCUGGAUUCCUGAAUGACCUUGUGGAAGGUUCCUGCCAACCAGAAGUAUCAGCGUGGGACCCUGCAGGAAUGAGGAAUAAACAUCUAUUGCGUUAAGCCAUUGA